AUGAAUCCCCUUCCUCCUUCCAAGUCAUUGGGUCAGGGUCGUCGGAGAAAAGGUGUAUCACGAAAAUUCAUCCCAGAAGAGCUUAUAGUUUUUGUGAUUUCUUUACUUCCUGUGAAAUCGCUUUGUCGACUGAGGUGUGUUAGUCCAACAUGGAACUCUUUCAUCACUAAUACCGCUUUCGUUAAAUUACACCUCGAUCGAUCUUCUCGAGACGAGCGAGUCAUCCUUGUAUACACUCCUAAUUGCACAAUGGCUGGAAGUACGUUGAAAGCUUGGUUACAUAUCCCUGAAAGCUUUGUAUUCAUGGUAGUGCGGUGGAAGAUUCCAUAUCCAUUCUUUAGACUGCAAGUUUCACAUCUCAAUGAUCUUCCCCAAAGGCUUCUUUAA